GAUGAACGCUGGCGGCGUGCCUAAUACAUGCAAGUCGAGCGAACAGACGAGGAGCUUGCUCCUCUGACGUUAGCGGCGGACGGGUGAGUAACACGUGGAUAACCUACCUAUAAGACUGGGAUAACUUCGGGAAACCGGAACUAAUACCGGAUAAUAUAUUGAACCGCAUGGUUCAAUAGUGAAAGACGGUUUUGCUGUCACUUAUAGAUGGAUCCUCGCCGCAUUAGCUAGUUGGUAAGGUAACGGCUUACCAAGGCAACGAUGCGUAGCCGACCUGAGAGGGUGAUCGGCCACACUGGAACUGAGACACGGUCCAGACUCCUACGGGAGGAAGCAGUAGGGAAUCUUCCGCAAUGGGCGAAAGCCUGACGGAGCAACGCCGCGUGAGUGAUGAAGGUCUUCGGAUCGUAAAACUCUGUUAUUAGGGAAGAACAAAUGUGUAAGUAACUAUGCACGUCUUGACGGUACCUAAUCAGAAAGCCACGGCUAACUACGUG
rnacentral:rRNA from 1 species